UCGAGUCGUAUGCGGGGAAACUCGCACGUACGGUUCCAAGGAGGGCCCUCUCCUCAAGGAGAGGUGGGCCUACCCUAC
rfam:Candidatus Burkholderia pumila strain TZHbot3 BPMIctg149, whole genome shotgun sequence.